AUGUCUUAAUUCGGUCCUCAGUUAAACUGGCGGUGGGCGCUGCUUUUUUUCCAGGGAAGGAUUCUGGAAGACAUAGGAGGAGACGCCAGCAUUUCGCCCUCCAGCACCUCCUGCGGGCUGUGGUCCGCUUCCGGCCUCACUCGAGCAGACCCCGCCCUCCCAGAGGCCGUUUGUCCAAGUCACGUGAUCGUCGAAUCUGUUGACCUGGCGCCACCGGAAAAAGAAAUUCCCGGGCCCUGGCUUCUUGGCCUGAUGGUGAGGCACCAGAGGCACUGCUAGCCUUGAAGCCUCCAGCCUGCUGGAUGCCUCCAUCCCCGGCUAUGCUGUGGCUCUCCUCAUUCUAGGCCUCCUGCUCGUCACAUUCACCCUUGUCCUGGUGCUAAAGUGGAGGGCCUCCCAUGGGGUGUUCAGCCUGGGUGUGUAGAAGCACACAGUGUGGUACAGAGGACCCUCUCCAGACAGCUGCCUCCCACCAACCCUAGAAAUGAUGCUGGGAGCUGACAGAAACUGAACUUAGGAGCACAGGAGGCCAGGAGACCUGGGACAGAGAACAGGAGGUGACCCCUCAUGCUGCUGCUCCCUCUGCUGAAACCCAAACUGCAAACCUCUCCUCUCCCUGCCUUCACCUUGCCCCACGGCUUCCACAGACAGUGCCUCAACCCCGAGGAAUGAAUCCGAAGUUCCAACACCACUGACUUUCCCAGGAACUCAGAGCCAGAGAGGGCCAAGGACCAGCUCGAGGACACACAGCCAGGGCUUCUUCCCUCCGAAACCCCCAAGGACUGGACUUGCAGGGCUGGGACAGAGGUGGGGUGGGGGAAAGCAAUGCCUUGUCAACCCACGUGGGGAGCCCCACUCCCAUCCCCAAGGUGCAUAAAGUUGAGGAACACCCCUGCU
rnacentral:lncRNA from 1 species